rnacentral:rRNA from 1 species
GAUGAACGCUAGCGGCAGGCCUAACACAUGCAAGUCGAGGGGCAUCGCGGUGCAGCAAUGCACUGGCGGCGACCGGCGUACGGGUGCGUAACGCGUAUGCAACCUGCCCCGCACCGGGGGAUAGCCCGCCGAAAGGCGGAUUAAUACCCCAUGGCCCCGGGGGCCCGCAUGGGCAUCCGGGUAAAGCUUUGGCGGUGCGGGAUGGGCAUGCGUGCCAUUAGCUGGCUGGUGGGGUAACGGCCCACCAGGGCAACGAUGGCUAGGGGGUCUGAGAGGAUGGUCCCCCACACUGGUACUGAGACACGGACCAGACUCCUACGGGAGGCAGCAGUGAGGAAUAUUGGUCAAUGGGCGGAAGCCUGAACCAGCCAUGCCGCGUGCGGGAUGAAGGCCCUACGGGUUGUAAACCGCUUUUCCCCGGGAAGAAUAAAGCCCCCGCGGGGGUGAGUGCCGGUACCGGGGAAUAAGGAUCGGCUAACUCCGUG